CUCCUUCCAACAGCCCAAGUAGAGACAAACCACUACAGGAAAACUUUCUGCCCCUGAGGUGUUAUAAAAGUGUAACUGGAAAGGUCUAGAUAAAAUUUACUGCAAAGAUAAAAUUUACUUAACAGAGUGCAGAAAAUUGCAGUUCUGGAAACACCUUGGAGAUCUGCUGGCUGGUGGCUGAGGCUGACCAGUGUGAGGGGUAGGAGUAAUAUGCAGAGGGUGGACCUUGUAGAAUGGGGAAAAACCAGUGAGAGAAAGCACGGGCAUGGGAAGCACUUCCCACAGUGCAGCUGGCACUGUGCUUUCCCAAGAAGAGAAAGAAGUGGUCUACAGCCCUCAAACCCAGGUUGCACACACCAUUGAUCCCUUUGACUACCAGCUUCCAGACCUGCUGCCCAGGAGCCAUCGAGCUUUUCUGUGUUAUAGAGGAAGGCAACCUGGACUCUGAAGUGGCUUUAUCAGAGUCAAGAGCCUUGAUGCAGCUGGAGCCUGCUCUAUUCCUUCUAUUCACCUGAAUACCUUCAGGACAAAGGAAGUCUACCACAGCAGCAGUGUAUUCCUGGUUCUCUCUAUAUGCUCUGCCAUAAAUGAGGACUGAUCAUGGUCAUCAACUAAGCAUAACACAGCAUUAUAAAAUGGAAUUCGUUCAAUCUCUCCAUGGCAUUUCCAGAUUAUAGCAUUAACCUUUCUAAAGCACUCAGUGAUUAUUACUCA
rnacentral:lncRNA from 1 species